rnacentral:rRNA from 1 species
UUCCAGACUCCUACGGGAGGCAGCAGUGGGGGAUAUUGCACAAUGGGGGGAACCCUGAUGCAGCGACGCCGCGUGGGUGAAGAAGCGCCUCGGCGCGUAAAGCCCUGUCAGCAGGGAAGAAAAUGACGGUACCUGAAGAAGAAGCCCCGGCUAACUACGUGCCAGCAGCCGCGGUAAUACGUAGGGGGCAAGCGUUAUCCGGAUUUACUGGGUGUAAAGGGGGCGCAGACGGCGAUGCAAGCCAGGAGUGAAAGCCCGGGGCCCAACCGCGGGACUGCAUUGGGAACUACCGGGCUGGAGUGCCGGAGAGGUAGGCGGAAUUCCUAGUGUAGCGGUGAAAUGCGUAGAUAUUAGGAGGAACACCAGUGGCGAAGGCGGCCUACUGGACGGUGACUGACGCUGAGGCUCGAAAGCGUGGGGAGCAAACAGGAUUAGAUACCCCGGUA